rnacentral:lncRNA from 1 species
AUUACAGCUGCUUUUCUUGGGAAACAUCCUUUGAUUUCAGCUCACUUUCCACUCUCAUCUCUAAUGAGGUUCAGCUAACAAAACCAUUGCAAAAGUACACAGGGAUACACAGUCCUGAGCCGGGCCAACAGACAGGAAUCCCCAUUGCCGUGAGACUGAGCCCAUCUGAAGUAAGCACUCCGUUACUUACUUAUGGAGAGGUUCACCCUCCUCUGCAUAGGCAACAGGAAAUGAGUAACACUUCCUCUCACUCAGUGAUAAACUGCAGCAAGAAAAAGAAAAGAAGAAAAAUGUGGAAAUUGGAAACCCUUAACAUUAUGAACUGAUCUCAAGUGAAAUCUAGCAGUUGUUAUAGCAAACAUAGAUUUCUCCCAUCUUGGCCAAGCAGAAAUAAUUGUAUCCUCAUCUGUGUGUGACAAAAUGAAGGGACCCAAGUGGAGUUGUCCUCCAGUCUCUUAGAAAGUAAAAGACACACUGGAGCUCAGACCCAGGUAGGGCUCCGUGGCCAGCCGCUGAUACAGCCGCAGCCACCGGGUAAAGGACGCUUCUUUGACUUUCUUCUGCUUGCGUUGCUUUAACUGUAGAUCACACACUCAGAUAGUGGCACCCUAAGGCCGUGAAUGGCACCUUCACUAUGGCAGUGACAUUCUCUCUAUAAUUAGUGCCACCUUCCCUGUAAUGGAGAUAUCCUUUCUGAGAUAGUGACUGGCACUCCUUACAGAGAGUCCCUCCUCAUCGGGUUUUCCCAUUGUCUAUAGUUAGUCCUUCAGGCUGCUUCCCACUGUGUUGCAUUUGUUUUGUUGGAUAAAACUAUAUUGGCGCAUUUUUUGCCCUAGCCCGCCUAGCCUCACCCCUGGUCUUUUGUGACCUUGUACCUGCUAAUAUCUAGCAGAUUGUCUUCUAUUUCUCUCCCCUCAAAUCAUCUACAUUUGCAGCUAAUUUUAAACAUCUUCACUUGUAUAAUUUGUGAGCACCUGAGACUGCGAAUCUGAAGGUAAAUUAUUCUAUGCCGUAUGUCAUUUUUGGACUGGAAUCCUUCCUCCUGUCUGCUGUUGGAGAUGAAGCAUGGGAGAUGGUACAGACUUAUACACCUCAUGGAAUGAUGCAGGAGGGUUACCGCCACAAAAGGACUAUGCAGUCAAAGUCCUUUAAAAGGUUACAUUUCUGGUCUGGGCUUUGUGGCUUGCGCAGAUAAUUUCCAUACACAGAAGUCUGAGGCAGGAAGAUUGUGGUGUGUUUGAGACUGAGUUUAAGAGGUGGCGCACGCCUUUAAUCCCAGCACUUGGGAGGCAGAGGCAGGCGGAUUUCUGAGUUCGAGGCCAGCCUGGUCUACAAAGUGAGUUCCAGGAUAGCCAGGGCUAUACCCUAUCUCGAAAAACCAAAAAAAGACACAGUUCCAUACCCUGUCUCACAGAAACAAAAAAGCUCCCUCAGAUGAGCAGACCGUAUGCCAUCCCCCCCCUUCUGUUUUAUUCUCUGCUCUUGUUUCGGGACGGGAUUUUGCUGUGUAGGUUUGGCGGGCCUGUCUGGCCUUGAACAUGCAGAGGUUUACCUGCCUGUUUCCCACCUACCAGGACUAAAGGCGUAUAUAUCACUGCCCCUGCUUCAGUAUGAACCUUCCAUUACACCCUCAUCUUCGUGGAAACCUGUCCACUUUACUGCUGCAGGGACUUGCCGGUAUGUUUGUCUCCUGCACCAUUUCCUUUUCCUAUGUAAUUCCGUAAAGACCAGCGAAUGUUCAGCCAGUACAGAAGGACUAGCAGAAUAGUGCUUGAGUGGUUAAUUGGUGAAUGAACAUGGAAGAAUGCUAAGGACCAGCCUCGGCUUGGAGAGGUUCUGAGGAAGGGGAGCAGUGAAAGAAAGGACUCACAAUCAAAUCGUGGGUUGAAGCUGGCGAUUUGUGCUCUGCUGGAGAUAGCGUCCCUGCCUGCCAUCUCUCUGUUCUGCGGUCUUUCUCUCUGAUCUGCUUUCUCUCUGUGUUCUGAUGCUUCUCCAGGCAGUUCUCUUGCUGUUC